rnacentral:rRNA from 1 species
AGGAUCAUUAUUGAAUAAACUUGAACAGGCUGUUGCUGGUCUCCUCUGGGGGAUUAUGUGCACGCUUGUCUCAUCUUUGUUAUUUCUCCAACACUGUGCACCUUUUGUAGACCCUGGAGCUUUCUGGAUUUUCUGAAAAUUCGACUCAGGACUGCUGUUGCUGUAAAAAGUCCAGCUUUGCCUUGCAUUUCCAGGGUUCUAUGUCAUUUUUCACAAACCUCAUAUGUUUAGAAUGUUUGGAAAAUAUAAAAUAUAAAUAUACAACUUUCAGCAACGGAUCUCUUGGCUCUCGCAUCGAUGAAGAACGCAGCGAAAUGCGAUAAGUAAUGUGAAUUGCAGAAUUCAGUGAAUCAUCGAAUCUUUGAACGCAUCUUGCGCUCCUUGGUAUUCCGAGGAGCAUGCCUGUUUGAGUGUCAUUUAACUUCUCAAACCACAUCAGAUUGAUGUUGGCUUUGGAUGUGGGGGUUGUUUUUGCAGGCUUUCUUGUAGAAGGUCAGCUCCCCUGAAAUGAAUUAGUGGUAUCUGAGGCUACUACUGUGGGUGUGAUAACUAUCUAUGCCUUUGGUAUGCCACAUGAACAGAUUACACUGCUUCUAACAAAACAAAUGUUG